GACGAACGCUGGCGGCGUGCUUAACACAUGCAAGUCGAACGGAAAGGCCUCUUUCGGGGGGUACUCGAGUGGCGAACGGGUGAGUAACACGUGAGUAACCUGCCCUUGACUUUGGGAUAACUUCAGGAAACUGGGGCUAAUACCGGAUAGGAGCUCCUGCUGCAUGGUGGGGGUUGGAAAGUUUCGGCGGUUGGGGAUGGACUCGCGGCUUAUCAGCUUGUUGGUGGGGUAGUGGCUUACCAAGGCUUUGACGGGUAGCCGGCCUGAGAGGGUGACCGGCCACAUUGGGACUGAGAUACGGCCCAGACGCCUACGGGAGGCAGCGGUGGGGAAUAUUGCACAAUGGGUGGAAGCCUGAUGCAGCAACGCCGUGUGCGGGAUGACGGCCUUCGGGUUGUAAACCGCUUUCGCUCAUGACGAAGCUUUGUGUGACGGUAGUGGGUAAAGAAGCACCGGCUAACUACGUG
rnacentral:rRNA from 1 species